UAACUGUAAACGAUGCGGACUUGGUGUUGGGGUGGCUUUGAGCUGCUUCAGUGCCGAAGGGAAGCUGUUAAGUCCGCCGCCUGGGAAGUACGGUCGCAAGACUGAAACUUAAAGGAAUUGGCGGGGGAGGCACCACAACACGUGGAGCCUGCGGUUUAAUUUGGAUUCAACGCCGGACAUCUCACCAGAGGCGACAGCUGUAUGAUAGCCAGGUUGAUGACUUUGCUUGACUAGCUGAGAGGAGGUGCAUGGCGUCAGUGACU
rnacentral:rRNA from 1 species